rnacentral:rRNA from 1 species
UACGUAGGGAGCAAGCGUUGUCCGGAUUUACUGGGCGUAAAGAGCGUGUAGGCGGCCAAGCAGGUCCGUUGUGAAAACUGGAGGCUUAACCUCCAGACGUCGACGGAAACCGUCUGGCUAGAGUCCGGAAGAGGAGUGUGGAAUUCCUGGUGUAGCGGUGAAAUGCGCAGAUAUCAGGAAGAACACCUAUGGCGAAGGCAGCACUCUGGGACGGUACUGACGCUGAGACGCGAAAGCGUGGGGAGCGAACAGG